CUGGUUGAUCCUGCCGGCGGCCACCGCUAUUGGAAUACGAUUAAGACAUGCAAGUCGAGAGUCUUCGGGACUCGGCAGACCGCUCAGUAACACGUGGACAACAUGCCCUUGGGAGGGGGAUAACCUCGGGAAACUGAGAAUAAUACCCCAUAGGUCCAGAAUGCUGGAACGCUUCUGGGCCGAAAGCUCCGGCGCCCAAGGAUUGGUCUGCGGCCUAUCAGGUUGUAGUGGGUGUAAAGGACCCACUAGCCUAUGACGGGUAUGGGCCUUGAAAGAGGGAGCCCAGAGAUGGACUCUGAGACAUGAGUCCAGGCCCUACGGGGUGCAGCAGUCGCGAAAACUUCACAAUGGGAGCAAUCCCGAUGAGGGAAUUCCAAGUGCCAGCACUUAGUGUUGGCUGUUCUCCUGUCUAAAAAACAGGAGAAGUGAGGGCCGGGUAAGACGGGUGCCAGCCGCCGCGGUAAUACCCGCGGCCCGAGUGGUGGUCGAUAUUAUUGAGCCUAAAACGUCCGUAGCCGGUCUCGUAAAUCCUUGGGUAAAUCGGCCAGCUUAACUGUCCGAACUCCGGGGAGACUGCGAGGCUUGGGACCGGGAGAGGUCAGAGGUACUUCCAGGGUAGGGGUAAAAUCCUGUAAUCCUAGAAGGACCACCGGUGGCGAAGGCGUCUGACUAGAACGGAUCCGACGGUGAGGGACGAAGCCCUGGGGCGCAAACGGGAUUAGAUACCCCGGUAGUCCAGGGUGUAAACGCUGCGGGCUUGGUGUUGGGGGUCCUUUGUGGGCGCCCAGUGCCGGAGAGAAGUUGUUAAGCCUGCUGCUUGGGGAGUACGUCCGCAAGGAUGAAACUUAAAGGAAUUGGCGGGGGAGCACCGCAACGGGAGGAGCGUGCGGUUCAAUUGGAGUCAACGCCGGG
rnacentral:rRNA from 1 species